rnacentral:sRNA from 1 species
CAAUUGACUAUCAACACUGCUAUAGUAUACAUGCAUCGAUUCUACAUGAUUCAGUCCUUCACACAGUUCCCUGGAAAUUCUGUGGCUCCAGCAGCCUUGUUUCUAGCGGCUAAAGUGGAGGAGCAGCCCAAAAAAUUGGAACAUGUCAUCAAGGUAGCACAUACUUGUCUCCAUCCUCAGGAAUCCCUUCCUGAUACUAGAAGUGAGGUAGGAGAUUAAUUAGACAUCUGUUUUUCUUAAUUUUUUUCUUUCUUUUUUUUUCCCUACUCCUAAGCAUGCCUGGAUCUUUAUGUAUUUCGAUGCAACUUAAUUUUAUAACUUCGAUUUAUUGAAGUUUAGAUUGGGGUUGU